AGCGGCGGACGGGUGAGUAACGCGUGGGUAACCUGCCCUGUACACACGGAUAACAUACCGAAAGGUAUGCUAAUACGAGAUAAUAUACUUUUAUCGCAUGGUAGAAGUAUCAAAGCUCCGGCGGUACAGGAUAGACCCGCGUCUGAUUAGCUAGUUGGUAAGGUAACGGCUUACCAAGGCGACGAUCAGUAGCCGACCUGAGAGGGUGAUCGGCCACAUUGGAACUGAGACACGGUCCAAACUCCUACGGGAGGCAGCAGUGGGGAAUAUUGCACAAUGGGCGAAAGCCUGAUGCAGCAACGCCGCGUGAGCGAUGAAGGCCUUCGGGUCGUAAAGCUCUGUCCUCAAGGAAGAUAAUGACGGUACUUGAGGAGGAAGCCCCGGCUAACUACGUGCCAGCAGCCGCGGUAAUACGUAGGGGGCUAGCGUUAUCCGGAAUUACUGGGCGUAAAGGGUGCGUAGGUGGUUUCUUAAGUCAGAGGUGAAAGGCUACGGCUCAACCGUAGUAAGCCUUUGAAACUGGGAAACUUGAGUGCAGGAGAGGAGAGUGGAAUUCCCAGUGUAGCGGUGAAAUGCGUAGAUAUUAGGAGGAACACCAGUUGCGAAGGCGGCUCUCUGGACUGUAACUGACACUGAGGCACGAAAGCGUGGGGAGCAAACAGGAUUAGAUACCCUGGUAGUCCACGCCGUAAACGAUGAGUACUAGCUGU
rnacentral:rRNA from 1 species